rnacentral:rRNA from 1 species
UACGUAGGGUGCAAGCGUUGUCCGGAAUUAUUGGCGUAAAGAGCUCGUAGGCGGUUUGUCGCGUCUGCUGUGAAAACUCAGGGCUUAACCCUGAGCUUGCAGUGGGUACGGGCAGACUAGAGUGCGGUAGGGGAGACUGGAAUUCCUGGUGGAGCGGUGAAAUGCGCAGAUAUCAGGAGGAACACCCGUAGCGAAGGCGGCACUCUGGGCCGGAACUGACGCUGAGGAGCGAAAGCGUGGGGAGCGAACAGG